rnacentral:rRNA from 1 species
ACUCAAAUGAAUUGACGGGGGCUCACACAAGCGGUGGAGCAUGUGGCUCAAUUCGAAGCAACGCGAAGAACCUUACCUGGGUUUGACAUACACGGAUUAGCUCCUGGAAACAGGAGUGACGACCGCAAGGUUGGAACGUGAACAGGUGCUGCAUGGCUGUCGUCAGCUCGUGCUGUGAAGCGUCGGGUUAAGUCCUCUAACGAGCGCAACCCCUGCCGCUAGUUACCAUCGGGUUAUGCCGGGGACUCUAGCGGGACUGCCGGUGUCAAACCGGAGGAAGGCGGGGAUGACGUCAAGUCCUCAUGGCCCUUACAUCCAGGGUUGCACACGUGCUACAAUGGUGCAUACAAAGCGACGCGAGACCGCGAGGUGGAGCAAAUCGCAAAAAAUGCACCCCAGUUCGGAUUGCAGGCUGAAACCCGCCUGCAUGAAGCCGGAAUCGCUAGUAAUCGGGGAUCAGCUACGCCCCGGUGAAUGUGUUCCUGAGCCUUGUACACACCGCCCGU